GAUGAACGCUGGCGGCGUGCCUAAUACAUGCAAGUCGAGCGAACAGACGAGGCGCUUGCUCCUCUGACGUUAGCGGCUGACGGGUGAGUAACACGUGGAUAACCUACCUAUAAGACUGGGAUAACUUCGGGAAACCGGAGCUAAUACCGGAUAAUAUAUUGAACCGCAUGGUUCAAUAGUGAAAGACGGUUUUGCUGUCACUUAUAGAUGGAUCCGCGCCGCAUGAGCUAGUUGGUAAGGUAACGGCUUACCAAGGCGACGAUGCGUAGCCGACCUGAGAGGGUGAUCGGCCACACUGGAGCUGAGACACGGUCCAGAGUACUACGGGAGGCAGCAGUAGGGAAUCUUACGCAAUGGGCGAAAGCCUGACGGAGCAAGGCCGCGUGAGUGAUGAAGGUCUUCGGAUCGGAAAACUCUGUUAUUAGGGAAGAACAAAUGUGGAAGUAACUAUGCACGGCUUGACGGUACCUAAUCAGAAAGCCACGGCUAACUACGUG
rnacentral:rRNA from 1 species